rnacentral:rRNA from 1 species
UCAGAUUGAACGCUGGCGGCAUGCUUUACACAUGCAAGUCGAACGGCAGCACGAAAGAGCUUGCUCUUUUGGUGGCGAGUGGCGAACGGGUGAGUAAUACAUUGGAACGUACCGAGUAAUGGGGGAUAACUGUCCGAAAGGAUGGCUAAUACCGCAUACGCUCUGAGGAGGAAAGCGGGGGACCUUCGGGCCUCGCGUUAUUCGAGCGGCCAAUGUCUGAUUAGCUAGUUGGUGGGGUAAAGGCCUACCAAGGCGACGAUCAGUAGUGGGUCUGAGAGGAUGAUCCGCCACACUGGGACUGAGACACGGCCCAGACUCCUACGGGAGGCAGCAGUGGGGAAUUUUGGACAAUGGGCGAAAGCCUGAUCCAGCCAUGCCGCGUGUCUGAAGAAGGCCUUCGGGUUGUAAAGGACUUU